UACAGAGGUCUCAAGCGUUGUUCGGAUUCAUUGGGCGUAAAGGGUGUGUAGGUGGCGCUGUAAGUCGGGUGUGAAAUUUCGGAGCUUAACUCCGAAACUGCAUUCGAUACUGCGGUGCUUGAGGACUGGAGAGGAGACUGGAAUUCAUGGUGUAGCAGUGAAAUGCGUAGAGAUCAUGAGGAAGACCAGUGGCGAAGGCGGGGUCUCCUGGACAGUUCCUGACACUGAGACACGAAGGCCAGGGGAGCAAACGGG
rnacentral:rRNA from 1 species